GGUAAAACUGCAGGCAGGCGCCCUAGACCAGGAAAGAAGGACGUCAGCGACCCUAAUGGAGAUUCUCCUUAUGAGUAUGAACGCCCUGAAAAAGUUCCCAUGUCAGAUCAAAAUCAACCGAGAGAUCCAUCUUUUCCAGCUGGAACCUAUCCUCAUGAUUUGUUUUGGCCAGAGCAUUGUGCAAAUCUUGGUAACAUUGAUCCCAGUCGCCUAGGAGAUCUCUCAUAUUUGCAGCAAAUGUUUCCACAUUAUUUCCGAAGACCAAAGGUUCGCCCUAAUGCAGCUGAAGAUUUCCCCAAUCACCCAGUUGACAUUCUCUCUCCAAAGGGUGAUGAUGCGGAUGAUUUUGGAAGCCCAGAUUUAGUUCCUGGUUUAAAUACCAAUGUUUUGAAUCAUCGAAGAGAUCCUGCUUCGUCAAAGGGAUCCUCUUCUGGAAGAGACAUCAUAACAGAGAUGCGCCCUAGUCUCACUUUAUCUGGAAAUUCUCCUAAUGAUUUUGAAGGUUCUCCUGGAACUCUUGUUUUAGACACCAAUGAAUCAGAUAAUAUUGAUCCAAAUCACUCUGGACGUCUCGGUAUCUUGCCGGGAAGUCUACAGGGCAAUUCUCUCCCCUCUGGGGCCCGCCCAGAUUCAGAGGCCAAUGAUCCAAAUCGUUUAGGUUUCCGUGUCGUGACAGGGACUCAACAGGGUAAUUCUCUUCCCUCCGGGGCCCGCCCAGAUUCAGAGGCCAAUGAUCCAAAUCGUUUAGGUUUCCGUGUCGUGACGGGAAAUCAACAGGGUAAUUCGCUCCCCUCCGGGGCUCGCCCAGAUUCAGAGGCCAAUGAUCCAAAUCGUUUAGGUUUCCGUUUCGUGACGGGAUCUCAACAGGAUAAUUCUCUCCCCUCUGGGGCCCGCCCAGAUUCAGAGGCCAAUGAUCCAAAUCGUUUAGGUUUCCGUGUCGUGACGGGGACUCAACAGGGUAAUUCUCUCCCCUCCGGGGCCCGCCCAGAUUCAGAGGCCA
rnacentral:lncRNA from 1 species